rnacentral:rRNA from 1 species
UACGUAGGGGGCUAGCGUUGUCCGGAAUCAUUGGGCGUAAAGAGCGUGUAGGCGGCUGGGUAGGUCCGCUGUGAAAACUCGAGGCUUAACCUCGAGACGUCGGUGGAAACCAUCCAGCUAGAGUCCGGAAGAGGAGAGUGGAAUUCCUGGUGUAGCGGUGAAAUGCGCAGAUAUCAGGAAGAACACCCGUGGCGAAAGCGGCUCUCUGGGACGGUACUGACGCUGAGACGCGAAAGCGUGGGGAGCGAACAGG